CGCAGAGUGGAGCAGUCCGGUAGCUCGCCGGGGUCAUAUCCCGGAGGUCGGCGGUUCAAAUCCGUCCUCUGCUA
rnacentral:tRNA from 1 species